rnacentral:rRNA from 1 species
UAAAAACCCCGACUUCGGAAGGGGUGUAUUUAUUAGAUACAAAACCAAUGCCCUUCGGGGCUCUUUGGUGAUUCAUGAUAACUAUACGAAUCGCACGGCCUUGCGCCGGCGAUGGUUCAUUCAAAUUUCUUCCCUAUCAACUUUCGAUGUUUGGGUAUUGGCCAAACAUGGUUGCAACGGGUAACGGAGGGUUAGGGCUCGACCCCGGAGAAGGAGCCUGAGAAACGGCUACUACAUCCAAGGAAGGCAGCAGGCGCGCAAAUUACCCAAUCCCGACUCGGGGAGGUAGUGACAAUAAAUACUGAUACAGGGCCCUUUCGGGCCUUGUAAUUGGAAUGAGUACAAUUUAAAUCCCUUAACGAGGAACAAUUGGAGGGCAAGUCUGGUGCCGGCAGCCGCGGUAAUUCCAGCUCCAAUAGCGUAUAUUAAAGUUGUUGUGGUUAAAAAGCUCGUAGUUGAACCUUGGGCCUGGCUGGCCGGUCCGCCUCACCGCGUGCACUGGUCCGGCCGGGCCUUUCCCUCUGUGGAACCCCAUACCCUUCACUGGGCGUGGCGGGGAAACAGGACAUUUACUUU